ensembl:lncRNA
CAUGCUUAUCAUGCUACGCACCAUUACAAGCCUCUGCCGACUAAAACAUGAAGCAAUUCAAGAAGAGGCAUAAAUAGAAUCACCUUGUGGUCAACUGGCAUUAUAUAGACAUCUGACAGAUUAUGUCAAGGUUUUAAAAUGAAUUAUUACCUGAGCAUGUUAUAACACAGCUGGAAGUCAUGGAUUUUCUGAUAAAGACUAGUUAGCCUCUUUGACAGACGAAGUAGCAGAACCUAUGUUAGGUGCGCUCGUGCUGCAUUUUUGUUUUUUUCAAACAGGAGACACCCACCAACCAAUCAGAGUUGUGGUUGCCCAGGUGAUGACGUGGGGAUUCUACUCCACCGGUGUUACUACGGAGAUGAUGAAGACCCGAAACUAUGACGAUGAUAACCAUGAUGCAGGCAGUAUUGCUGACCUCAGACACGAAUAGAGGCUCACGCUCACCUGUCCGUGUGAGCGUGAGAUUACUCCUGUGCGCUUUGUCACAAAGUAACGGGGAAGUGGGCGUGACGUCAUGACACCCUGCCCCGGUCCUGCUCCGAGGGGGGGGCGGUGCAGCAGGCUGUAGCUCUACACAAGUUUUCCGAGACCUCGAAAAAAGUAGCUGCUAGAUCGGGCCGGUCCUCCAAGAAGGGACAAAGUGAGCAGCGAACGAGAGCGAACCGACUUCUCGUUAGUUUGCAGCCGAACUCAUGGUCGUGAUGGUUUUUAAAUCACCCGCAGACCCGGAACACUUCAGCCCGGUUUAAGUAACGGUAAACCACGGAAUCCAGUUUGGUUUCUAAUUACUCCACCAGAUUGGAUUCGGUUUGUGGAGACACCGGCUCCUAGCUGUGAUUGACGGGGCGGUCUCGUGUCGAACCCGGGAUCGGGACGGACCGGGACCCGGUGACCCAGGAUGAGGAUGCCCCGCGGGGGACGCAUGGUCCUGGGCACAUGCCUCGGUUCGCUGGUCGCCCUUGUCCUCUACCUCCAGACCGUCACCAAGCCAGGAGGUGACGCAUACGGUUAUUUAAAACAUUCCCCUCUUCCCUUCCCUGGAACCCAAGCUGAACCUGAACUUCACAUGACAACCCUGAAGUCAUCCUCUGUGACAGUAAAAACCAACAAACCGGGGGUUCACGUCCUAACAAGCGAGGGCAGCUCGGCACUUAUGUGACAAGGCCGGUCAUGUGACCCUGCUCGAACCUCACACCUGUCCCCUAAGUCCUGAUGGAUUCUGCCCCGCUGGCGUUACCAUGGCGAAGCCGAUGGCAGCAACCUCUAUGGUGGCGCGGUGUGUUGACACAUCCGCGCUCUCAGUCUCCACAUAACGCAGGCUAAAUAUAAAACUAAAUUUCGCACCAACUCGAGUUUCGGCCAACUGUUUUCACUAACUGUUUUUCAACACUGGUUGCAUCAACACUGGAACACUGUUUCCCCGUUUCAGGUCCAGCCCAGACCAACCCAGACCACUGUGGCCUAGCUGCCAAGGUCUGGGCUAGGUCCGAUCCGGUCCAGGUCCCGCCUCAAUGAAGGCCCUCUCCAUUUCAUCCGUUUCCCUGACAGGGUUUUCCCAGUGAAUGGAAAAGCAUCUUUGGAGAUCUUUUGGUGGAUGAAGCAUCGAUGUGCGUGGCCUGAGCUGCAGAAGUCAUUCAGAACCAGUCUGCCUCCUGCUGUGAAGGGUCAACCUGUGGGAGGGGACAGCUAGCCUACCUGCUGCUGUGAUGGGGUCACCUGUCAAAGGAGGACAGUUUCUGUUGACCGGUUGUGGGUGGGCGGGGUCAGGUUUAGCUCUCAUUCCAAGCCCCGCAGCCUUCUGAUGAGUCCCUUUAUCAUCCCACAGCAGAGGAUCCAAAUUGUU